GAGUUUGAUCAUGGCUCAGAUUGAACGCUGGCGGCAUGCCUUACACAUGCAAGUCGAACGGUAACAGGUCUUCGGACGCUGACGAGUGGCGAACGGGUGAGUAAUACAUCGGAACGUGCCCAGUCGUGGGGGAUAACUACUCGAAAGAGUAGCUAAUACCGCAUACGAUCUGAGGAUGAAAGCGGGGGACCUUCGGGCCUCGCGCGAUUGGAGCGGCCGAUGGCAGAUUAGGUAGUUGGUGGGAUAAAAGCUUACCAAGCCGACGAUCUGUAGCUGGUCUGAGAGGACGACCAGCCACACUGGGACUGAGACACGGCCCAGACUCCUACGGGAGGCAGCAGUGGGGAAUUUUGGACAAUGGGCGAAGACCUGAUCCAGCAAUGCCGCGUGCAGGA
rnacentral:rRNA from 1 species